CCCUUAGAUGUUCUGGGCCGCACGCGUGCUACACUGAGUGGAUCAGCGGGUCAGGUUGCGCGAAAGCGUUUCCUAAUCUUUAAAUCCGCUCGUGAUGGGGAUUGACGGUUGCAAUUUUCUGUCAUGAACGAGGAAUACCUUGUAAGCGCGGGUCAUCAUCCCGCGCUGAAUACGUCCCUGCCCUUUGUACACACCGCCCGUCGCUACUACCGAUUGAAUGGUUUAGUGAGAUCUUCGGAUUGGCGCCAUCGUGGCUUCGCGGCCAUGACGGAUGGCCGAAAAGUUGAUCAAACUUGAUCAUUUAGAGGAAGUAAAAGUCGUAACA
rnacentral:rRNA from 1 species